rnacentral:rRNA from 1 species
UACGAAGGGUGCAAACGUUGCUCGGAAUUAUUGGGCGUAAAGCGCACGUAGGCGGCUUGGCAAGUCGGAUGUGAAAUCCCUCGGCUCAACCAAGGAAGUGCAUCCGAAACUGCUGAGCUUGAGUUCUUAAGAGGAUCGCGGAAUUCCAGGUGUAGCGGUGAAAUGCGUAGAUAUCUGGAGGAACACCGGUGGCGAAGGCGGCAUCCUGGACCGACACUGACGCUGAGGAGCGAAAGCCAGGGGAGCAAACGGG